rnacentral:lncRNA from 10 species
UUCAAAUUAAAUAUUGGAUAAUUAUUAAUCUAAUUAUUUAACUAUUUAAAAUUAAAUAAAAUUUUCAUCUAUUUUACCACUUUCACACUAGCAUAUUUAAUAUUAUUCACAAAUUAAGAUAAAAUUGUGAUCUCAAUAGAUUCACAGAAUGCAUUUAAUAAAAUCCAAUACCCAAUUGUCUUAGUUUGUUUGCACUACUAUACAAAAUACCUCAUCAUUUGUAAUUUAUAAAGAAUGGAAAUUUAUUUGUCACAGUUCUGGAGGAUGGAAAGUCCAAGAUUAAGGUGUCAAGAGGUUCUGUGCACUGAGGGCCCAGUCUCUGUUUCAAAGAUGUCACUUUGAAGGCUAUAUCCUCACUUGGAAGAAGGGAAGGAAGGGCAUAAAAUGACCUCACCCAGUUCCCUCUAGCCCUUUUAUAAGACACUAAUUCAUUGAUGAGGGCAGAGCACCUUCAUAUCUUAGUCACUUCCCUACAGGUGCCACCUCUUAGUACCACUACAAUGGGGAAUAAGUUUCAACAUGACAUCUGGAAAAGACACAUUCAAAGCAUAGCACCAGUCUUUAUUAAAAAACAAAAAAGUCUUUUAACAGAUAAGUUCCAUAGCCUGGUAAACCAUAAACCUGAUCACAGGUAAUGAUAAAACACUAAAACCAUCCAAUUGAAAAUAUAAACAAGAUAAAGACAUGUGCUAUCAUCAUUACUAUCAAAUCUUGUCUGAAGAUCCCAGGCAAGCAGAAAAGAGAGAGAGAGAGAAAAAUGAAAGAUAAAAGGAUUGAAGAAGAAGAAGCAAAACUCUCCGUUAUUCACAGACAAUGAACCACAGUGUGAUUGUGGACAUCUAAGAAGUCUGUGAUCUAAGAAGUCACUAAUGAAAAAUGUGUAUCUUGAAUGAUCUUUGGGAAUUUCUGACAGAUCCAACAAUUUGACAGGUUUUCUCCAGUAGCAGUAUUCUGAGACAGUUUGUUUACAGUAUUAUUGUGCUAUUCUAAACAUUGCAGUAAUGGAAAUAGGAACAAAAGGGUGAUUAAAGCUUUAAGAGUAAAGGAAGAUAUUCUGAAAAUGCAAGGACGUGUAAAUGAAAGGGACAUCUCUCACCAUGUAAUACAGCAGCUUCCCCUGUCACCUUCUGCCAUGAAUAUAAGCUUUCUGAAGCCCUCACCAGAAGCAGAUGCCAGCUCUAUGCUUCAUGUACAGACUGCAGAACCAUGGGACAAGGUUGCAGCCCAAAAGACUGCUUCAGAGAACCAAAUCAACAUUUCCCAUUCCAGCCAAGAUGCGCACACACCAAAACACAGGCACUAGUCACUCUGCUCACUGCCGAAGUUUGACGUGGUGAGGCUGACACUUGUUCCUGUUGGUCUCUAGCACCACUGAUGCACUCAAGGCGGGGAGGAAUGAGCUCCACUGGAAGUUCAGUAGGUGGUCCCCAGGAAGGAUGGAAGAGCAGAUGGUCACUCUGAGUUAGGCUAGUGGAGCUUCCAGUAGCAAUUCCUUCAGGGCUCACCAAAUGUUACUAGCCAUACAAAAAAAGAUAGUUCCCUGAAUUAGGCCUGCUGAGCUUCUGCUAGUAAUUCCUUCAGGGGAUUUCCUCCAUGGCCGUAAGUAUGCAUAAUAAGACAAAGAUAAAUAACAAGGCCUUCCAAAAUCAAGUUCUAAAUUUCAGAAAUUUCACCCAAGUAAUGCCCUUUAUUCUCUUUCCAAGUGAAUAGAAAUCCCCUCAAACAAGGUCCUUCUUAUUUCUAGGGAGGUUUGGCAAGACCUUGAAAGAGGCAAGAAGACCUCUAAGAAGGCCACAAAACCUUCAAGGAGGCCAUAAGACUUCCAAGGAAGCAACAAGACCUUCUGAGAGGCCACAAGAACUCCAAGGAGGUCACAAGAUCUGUCAAUAGGCAAGACAUCAGAGAUAGCCGCUAGUUCGGUGGAACUGAGUGGCCACUUGGCUUGUCUCUGGGUCCAUCCCAGUGGAAAGGGGGCACUGAGCCAAAUGUCCACAAGGGGCUCUUGAAUAGCUCUUAUAACAAAAUUUGUUAUAGGGCCAACAUGUUUAUAUGCCCACUGCACAGUAACAGACCAAUUACACUGAGGCAGCAGGGAUGCAGCAGAGAAAGAAUUUAAUUAUUGUAGGGUGCCAAGUGAAGAGGUGGAAGGAUAACAUCAAAUCCAUCUCCCCAGGGAGUUCUGAGCUGGCAUUUUCAAGGAGAUUGUGGAAGAUGAGAGGCUGAAAAAUUGGGAUCAUUGAUUGGCCAGGGCAAACAGGAUGAAAUCAUCAGAAUGUGGAAACUGCAUUCUUUGGUGAGUCAGCUUCUCACAAGGUUCUUCAGCCCAACUGGCAUCAGUGGGGUCCUUCAGACCAGCUGAGUCAGUAGUUUCAUCAGGACCUGAAGGAAUAUCUCAAAGAGAAAACUUAAUGUCUCAUAAUGUUCAGGUUGUUAUCUAUAGACCAGUUACGGGGAACUAUAAUCCAGGGUCCAUGUGAUUCCAGGACAGUCAGCACCAAACAACUCCAAGGAUGCAGGUCAGAGAGCAGGCUGACCUAAUGAUGAAUGCUGGACAUGGUGCAAGCUUGGUUUAUUUUUGUUUCUUCCUUCUCUUCUUCCCUGAUUAAUUUUAUAAACUUUAUCCAGGUGGUUUCAACACUUGGAUCCAGUAAACAAGGAUAUUAAAGAGAUGAGGUAUGCAGUCACAAAGAAAGAUAAAUAGGCCAGUGGAAAAUACGAGAAUCCUGGUCCUGAAACAAACACUGGUAGCUUAAUAUUGGACAGAAAUGGCAUGAAAGAUAGUAAACAAAGGAUGGUUUAUGUAGUAAAUCACAAAAGGACAACUGGCCUUACAUUUGGAGAAAGAAUAAAGCAAAUGAGCAAAAAGCCUGGAGUUGUGGAUCAUCCGUCUAAUCCCAACACUUUGGAAGGCUGAGGUGGGUUGAUCUUAAGCUCAGGGGUUUGAGACCAGCUUGGACAACAUAGUGAGACUUCAUCUCUACUAAAAUAAACAAAUAAAUUAAUUAGUUAAUUAAUAGCUGAGCAUCAUGGUGCAUGCCUGUAGUCCCAGCUGCUCAGGGGCCUGAGGCAGGAGGAUUGCUUGAGCCUGGAAGUUGGAGGCUUCACUGACUUAUGAUAUGCCAUUGCACUCCUAUCUGGAAGACAGAAGGAGACCCUGUCUCAAAAAAACAAAACAGAACAGAACAAUAAACAUUUACUGGAUUUCAAGAGGAGACCAAUCUUUACUUUUACAUGUAAAAGUGAUGAAAUACAUUAUUAAGGAAAACAUUGAUAGAUUUUGCUAUAAAAAUGUUACAAAUUCUCUAGGUUAAAAACAUGUAAACCAAAUUGAAAAGAAACAAGCUGGAAAACCUAGGUACAUGCAGUUAAUGAAGUUUUUACUAAAAAGAAAAAGCAUUCAAACUAUUCUGGAGAGUGUACCAAGACCCAAAGCAGUAAAUUUACAGAAACAAAAUUUAAAUGAGUAAUGCACAUAAUAAAAUAUACUAUGUCCCUUAAAAAAACACCGCAUAUUCUCACGCAUAGGUGGGAAUUGAACAAUGAGA